rnacentral:miRNA from 1 species
AUAUUGUCUUGUCACAGCAGU